rnacentral:lncRNA from 1 species
GCCUUUGAAGCACAGAUUGAAAAUUAAUUGGAAAUUAAAAAGCCUAAUUCUAAAAAACAAGUGGAUCAAAGAGAAGUAAAGGGGAGAUAAUGUCCUGAUCUAGUAAAGGCAUCCCUAGACUAAUUCUAGCUUUCAUUCUUUUUUAUAUAAUAGGAAAAGAAUAGGAUUGAGAUAUCUAAGACCUGAUUUCAAGUUCCAUCUCUGUGUAAUUUAUGAAACCCUAGAUCCAUGUUGCUGAACCUAUGGCACAUAUGCCUGAGGGGGCUGUCUCAUCUUGCCUGAGGACAUUUCUCAUAUGACCCACCUCUCCACCCAGAAGCCCAAUGGGAGUGCUUCCUCCCUCCCCUGUCUGAGGUAAGUAG